CAGAACAGUUGAAGAAAAUGUACUUGCAUCUAUUCCAUUGGCGUCUACUGUGACUUAAUGCUUUACAUGGAUAAACUCCAGGUCUCUAACCAAACAAUGGGUGGCUUCUGACACUCCUAGAAAAAGGUUCUUGACAAGCUUCCUUCACAAUGGGAAUGUCUACAGGUGGAGAACAGCUGAACAUGUCCAUGUGAGGGCUGUGUAAGGCUUUCUUCAAGCAGCACCUUGUCUGCCCUCUGUACCUUGGACACAGUUCUCUAACCAGAAGACGGAGGUAGAAAGUGUGGCUUCAGAUCCUUCCAGGUGAGUUCUGGACUUCUGUAACAUGUGGCUGUUUGUUCUGUCAAUGAUGUUAUACAUUUACCUACAUUGUUUGACUCUUCUAAUGAAAACAAACAUAAGCUGAGACAAAUAAAAUCCAUUCCCUGGGUUUCCUCGGGGUAAACAUUUGUUAACGAGUCAUUCUCUUACAGGUCAAAUGCUGCCAGAUGCGAUCCACCAUAUUAAAACCAGGCAAGUGAGUGGCUUUUUGUUUCUGGUCUUCUGAAACUAUGAUGAGUCUAUCCCGAACCUGAGUCACUGAUGACAAACUCUUUAUGGAUCUGACUUCUGAGUUUCCUUGCAUUUUCUUAGAAGCAGGUGUCUUCAGUUUGUUUUGAUUCUGUUAAUUAAACUUCACUCCUUUCCUCAUUUUAGGUACUGGAUUUUAUGCCAUGCAAGCACUUCCAGACUUACUGGUGUCCAAUAUCGAUCUGCUUUGUUACUGUGUGAAUACAUCUAGUACCACCAACAGACUGGUUCAGCCCAGUUUAGAAUGUUCUUUGGUGGCACCAGUAGAGGUGACAUGUGGAACUCGGCUAUACAUUGGUUGCUAAGACAUAAUGCUGUAACGGAAUAUUAAACAAAACUAUCUUGUUGCAUCAAAA